AACGUAGCGAAAGUUACGCUAAUACCGCAUAUUCUGUGAGCAGGAAANCAGGGGAUCGCAAGACCUUGCGCUGAUUGAGCGGCCGAUAUCAGAUUAGCUAGUUGGUGAGGUAAAGGCUCACCAAGGCGACGAUCUGUAGCGGGUCUGAGAGGAUGAUCCGCCACACUGGAACUGAGACACGGUCCAGACUCCUACGGGAGGCAGCAGUGGGGAAUUUUGGACAAUGGGCGCAAGCCUGAUCCAGCCAUGCCGCGUGAGUGAAGAAGGCCUUCGGGUUGUAAAGCUCUUUCGGCCGGGAAGAAAUCGCACAGGUUAAUACCCUGUGUGGAUGACGGUACCGGAAUAAGAAGCACCGGCUAACUACGUG
rnacentral:rRNA from 1 species